rnacentral:rRNA from 1 species
AACGAACGCUGGCGGCAGGCUUAACACAUGCAAGUCGAACGCAUCCUUCGGGGUGAGUGGCAGACGGGUGAGUAACGCGUGGGAACGUGCCCUUCAGUUCGGGAUAACCCAGGGAAACUUGGGCUAAUACCGGAUACGUGCGAGAGCAGAAAGAUUUAUCGCUGAAGGAUCGGCCCGCGUCUGAUUCGCUAGUUGGUGGGGUAAUGGCCCCCCAAGGCGACGAGCAGUAGCUGGUCUGAGAGGAUGAUCAGCCACAUUGGGACUGAGACACGGCCCAAACUCCUACGGGAGGCAGCAGUGGGGAAUAUUGGACAAUGGGCGCAAGCCUGAUCCAGCCAUGCCGCGUGAGUGAUGAAGGCCUUAGGGUUGUAAAGCUCUUUCGUCCGGGACGAUAAUGACGGUACCGGAAGAAGAAGCCCCGGCUAACUUCGUGCCAGCAGCCGCCGCUG